rnacentral:misc_RNA from 1 species
GAUGAAGAACGCAGCGAAAUGCGAUAAGUAGUGUGAAUUGCAGAAUUCAGUGAAUCAUCGAAUCUUUGAACGCACAUUGCGCCUCCUGGCAUUCCGGGAGGCAUGCCUGUUCGAGCGUCAUCGAACCCCAUCGUGCAAAUGAAUUAUUUUUUUUGCGCGGAAGUGACGAUUGAGCGAGAAUAACAAAUCCUCUCGCACCUCGUCGAAAUGAUUGCGGGCGGAAUUUGGGAUCGGGUUCCUCGGCGUAGUGUAUCAAUGCAUAUUUAUGCAACUUGCCGCGGAGUUGAGCCUGACCCACGCGUUCUCGCCGUACAAACACCUCAUUACUUUACAAGUUUUUGACCUCGGAUCAGGUAGGGAUACCCGCUGAACUUAAGCAUAUCAAUAAGCGGAGGA